GUAUAGGUUUUAUUAUUAUUAAUAAAUUAUUAUUAAAUAAUUGUAUUUAAAUAUACAGCCACAGAAGGUGCCAGCCCUGUUAUUUAAUAAUAUUUAUUAAAUUUAUAAAACUUUAGAGUCGUGUUGCUUGGAAGUGCAGCACAAAGUUGGUGAUAAACAUCAUCUAAGGCUAAAUAUUCCUAUGAAUCCGAUAGCGAACAAGUACUGUGAAGGAAAAUUGCAAAGUACUCCGGAGAGAGAGUUAAAGAGGACGUGAAACCGAUACGAUGGAAGCAUACAGAGCCAGUUGCACUAUUAUUAAUAUUUUUUAUUAAUAAUUUUAAGCAUGGGUAUAUUGAUUAUUAAUUAGUUAUUUAUUAAAGAGUGAUAAAAUUUUUUAAAUUUUGUUAACUUUAAUAAAAUAAUUAUAUUUAUAAUUAAUAUUUAUUAUUAUUAAUGUAUUAAUAAUAUUUUAAUUAUUAAUAUAAUAUAAGACACAUGUGUUAAAUAUUAUUUAUUGAUAAUUAUUAUAUUAUUAUAAGUUAAUAA
rnacentral:rRNA from 1 species